rnacentral:rRNA from 1 species
UAGGGAAUCUUCGGCAAUGGACGAAAGUCUGACCGAGCAACGCCGCGUGAGUGAAGAAGGUUUUCGGAUCGUAAAACUCUGUUGUUAGAGAAGAACAAGGACGUUAGUAACUGAACGUCCCCUGACGGUAUCUAACCAGAAAGCCACGGCUAACUACGUGCCAGCAGCCGCGGUAAUACGUAGGUGGCAAGCGUUGUCCGGAUUUAUUGGGCGUAAAGCGAGCGCAGGCGGUUUCUUAAGUCUGAUGUGAAAGCCCCCGGCUCAACCGGGGAAGGCCAUUGGAAACUGGGAGACUUGAGUGCAGAGGAGGAGAGUGGAAUUCCAUGUGUAGCGGUGAAAUGCGUAGAUAUAUGGAGGAACACCAGUGGCGAAGGCGGCUCUCUGGUCUGUAACUGACGCUGAGGCUCGAAAGCGUGGGGAGCAAACAGG